CUGCCGAAACACAAAUUUUCUAUGNUAACCGAGAGUAGAGUACAUAUUGUGCUCCNNNUGUUGUGUUGGGUUGUGUUGGUG
rnacentral:rRNA from 1 species